rnacentral:rRNA from 1 species
CCUACGGGGGGCAGCAGUAGGGAAUAUUGCUCAAUGGGGGAAACCCUGAUGCAGCGACGCCGCGUGAGGGAUGAAGUAUCUCGGUUCGUAAAGCUCUUUCGUUAGGGAAGAUUAUGACGGUACCUAACUAAUAAGCCCCGGCUAACUCCGUGCCAGCAGCCGCGGUAAUACGGAGGGUACAAGCGUUAUCCGGAGUUACUGGGGGUAAAGGGUGCGUAGGCGGGGUAAUAAGUCUGAUGUGAAAUCCUGGAGCUUAACUACAGAACUGCAUUUGAAACUGUUCCGCUGGAGUGUGGGAGAGGUAGGUGGAAUUCCUAGUGUAGGGGUGAAAUCCGUAGAGAUCAAGAGGAAUACUGAUGGCGAAGGCGGCCUGCUGGAACGUAACUGACGCUGAGGCACGAAAGCGUGGGGAGCAAACAGGAUUAGAUACCCCUGUAGUC